GUUUUGCUCCAAGGACCAAUCUCGGACUGAGAGGUUGAACGGCCACAUUGGGACUGAGACACGGCCCAGACUCCUACGGGAGGCAGCAGUGGGGAAUAUUGCACAAUGGGGGAAACCCUGAUGCAGCGACGCCGCGUGGAGGAAGAAGGUCUUCGGAUUGUAAACUCCUGUUGUUGGGGAAGAUAAUGACGGUACCCAACAAGGAAGUGACGGCUAACUACGUGCCAGCAGCCGCGGUAAAACGUAGGUCACAAGCGUUGUCCGGAAUUACUGGGUGUAAAGGAGCGCAGGCGGGAAGACAAGUUGGAAGUGAAAUCUAUGGGCUCAACCCAUAAACUGCUUUGAAAACUGUUUUUCUUGAGUAGUGCAGAGGUAGGCGGAAUUCCCGGUGUAGCGGUGGAAUGCGUAGAUAUCGGGAGGAACACCAGUGGCGAAGGCGGCCUACUGGGCACCAACUGACGCUGAGGCUCGAAAGUGUGGGUAGCAAACAGGAUUAGAUACCCUGGUAGUCCACACCGUAAACGAUGAUUACUAGGUGUUGGAGGAUUGACCCCUUCAGUGCCGCAGUUAACACAAUAAGUAAUCCACCUGGGGAGUACGACCGCAAGGUUGAAACUCAAAGGAAUUGACGGGGGCCCGCACAAGCAGUGGAGUAUGUGGUUUAAUUCGACGCAACGCGAAGAACCUUACCAAGUCUUGACAUCCCUUGACAGACAUAGAAAUAUGUAAUCUCUUCGGAGCAAGGAGACAGGUGGUGCAUGGUUGUCGUCAGCUCGUGUCGUGAGAUGUUGGGUUAAGUCCCGCAACGAGCGCAACCCUUAUGGUCAGUUACUACGCAAGAGGACUCUGGCCAGACUGCCGUUGACAAAACGGAGGAAGGUGGGGAUGACGUCAAAUCAUCAUGCCCUUUAUGACUUGGGCUACACACGUACUACAAUGGCGUUAAACAAAGAGAAGCAAGACCGCGAGGUGGAGCAAAACUCAGAAACAACGUCCCAGUUCGGACUGCAGGCUGCAACUCGCCUGCACGAAGUCGGAAUUGCUAGUAAUCGUGGAUCAGCAUGCCACGGUGAAUACGUUCCCGGGCCUUGUACACACCGCCCGUCACACCAUGAGAGCCGGGGGGACCCGAAGUCGGUAGUCUAACCGCAAGGAGGACGCCGCCGAAGGUAAAACUGGUGAUUGGGGUGAAGUCGGAACAAGGUAGCCGUAGGAGAACCUGCGGCUG
rnacentral:rRNA from 1 species